GUGAAAGUUAAUACAAUUAUAUUCGAACCUUUCCCUGCCCAACAUGAUUCCGACACAACCAGGAAUGGAACUUAGCUUCUCACACGUGCAACGCUUUGUUCUUACCAUUAGACCACCUCGCCUACACUUGCUGUAACUCCCUUUGUUAUUCUACUUAACUCUUUCUCGUCUCGGGUGGAAUUAAUAAACAACGAUGCCUGACAUUAAAAUGCUUUCGGCACAACCAGGAGUCGAUCCUGGUUUAUAUAAAGAACGAUAAAAAGAGUAAAAAAUAGCCAGAUUGUAUAAAGGGAAAAAAAUAUUGUGAGUUCAACGUGAUUUGAACUCAAAUGUUUAUCGGGAUAGGCCAAACGACCUACAACUAAGCCACCAGGGACGAGCUGAAAUUCUUGUGAAAUUAAAGACAAUAGUAGAUUGUUGUGACCUGCUUAUCUCAUGCGGAGAAGGAGACUAUUAUGCGGUGAAUGGCGGUGAACGCGGUGAAAGGAUUCAGUAUAAAAUCAACACAGAAUGAUUAGCUCGAUCUCUUCGGGCCAGGUUCAACCUAGCAAUAUUUUCUUCUGCUUGUAAAGCGAUUUCUCACGUAGAACUAUAAAAAGAAUAAAAAAUAGCCAGAUUGUAUAAAGGAAAAAAAUAUUGUGAGUCCGCUACAAAAUAUGAGUUCAACGUGAUUUGAACUCAAACGUUUAUCGAGAUAGGCCGAACGACGUACCACUAAGCCACCAGGGACGAGCUGAAAUUCUUGUGAAAUUAAAGACAAUAGUAGAUUGUUGUGACCUGCUUAUCUCAUGGGGUGAAGGAGACUAUUAUGCGGUGAAUGGCGGUGAAUGCGGUGAAAGGAUUCAAUAUGAAAUCAACACAGAAUGAUUAGCUGGAUCUCUUCGGGCCAGGUUCAACCUAGCAAUAUUUUCUUCUGCUUGUAAAGCGAUUUCUUACAUAAAACUAUAAAAAGAGUAAAAAAUAGCCAGAUUGUAUAAAAGGGAAAAAAUAUUGUGAGUCCGCUACAAAAUAUGAGUUCAACGUGAUUUGAACUCAAACGUUUAUCGAGAUAGGCCAAACGACCUACCACUAAGCCACCAGGGACGAGCUGAAAUUCUUGUGAAAUUAAAGACAAUAGUAGAUUGUUGUGACCUGCUUAUCUCAUGCGGUGAAGGAGACUAUUAUGCGGUGAAUGGCGGUGAAUGCGGUGAAAGGAUUCAAUAUGAAAUCAACACAGAAUGAUUAGCUGGAUCUCUUCGGGCGAGGUUCAACCUAGCAAUAUUUUCUUCUGCUUGUAAAGCGAUUUCUCACAUAAAACUAUAAAAAGAGUAAAAAAUAGCCAGAUUGUAUAAAAGGGAAAAAAUAUUGUGAGUCCGCUACAAAAUAUGAGUUCAACGUGAUUUGAACUCAAACGUUUAUCGAGAUAGGCCAAACGACCUACCACUAAGCCACCAGGGACGAGCUGAAAUUCUUGUGAAAUUAAAGACAAUAGUAGAUUGUUGUGACCUGCUUAUCUCAUGCGGUGUAGGAGACUAUUAUGCGGUGAAUGGCGGUGAACGCGGUGAAAGAAUUCAAUAUGAAAUCAACACAAAAUGAUUAGCUGGAUCUCUUCGGGC